rnacentral:rRNA from 1 species
AACGUAGGGGACAAGCGUUAUCCGGAUUUACUGGGCGUAAAGCGCCCGUAGGCGGCUUUUUAAGUUGGACGUGAAAGCUCCCGGCUUAACUGGGAGAGGCCGUUCAAAACUGGAAAGCUCGAGUGAGGAAGAGGAGAGCAGAAUUCCCGGUGUAGUGGUGGAAUGCGUAGAGAUCGGGAGGAAUGCCAGUGGCGAAAGCGGCUCUCUGGUCCUAAACUGACGCUGAGGGGCGAAAGCGUGGGGAGCGAACGGG